rnacentral:rRNA from 1 species
UACGAAGGGGGGCUAGCGUUGCUCGGAAUCACUGGGCGUAAAGGGCGCGUAGGCGGCCAUUUAAGUCGGGGGUGAAAGCCUGUGGCUCAACCACAGAAUUGCCUUCGAUACUGUUUUGGCUUGAGUUUGGUAGAGGUUGGUGGAACUGCGAGUGUAGAGGUGAAAUUCGUAGAUAUUCGCAAGAACACCAAUUGCGAAGGCAGCUCGCUGGGACGUGACUGACGCUGAGACGCGAAAAGCGUGGGGAGCAAACAGG